UUCAGCACAUUUUUAUGUUAUCAAACAGGCACUUAAUCUUAUAUAUACUGUCAGUGUAUACACAAUCAUAAUUAGAUAUCUGACACAUGUAUACAAUUUGAAUUUGAAAUUUAAAAUUUGCUCAUAUGUCAUGCAUUCAACCGUGAUAGUGUAUACACUACCAGUGUAUAUAAAAAUUACUCUAAUAUAUUAGUUGGAGAAGUUUAAAUGGCAUAGGUUCAUAAUUAAUUUAUAGCUAUGUGGAUAAGAUUGAUAUGUUUUCUUCUUUUUUUUUAAUCAUUGCAUUCAAACUAUUUUAUCCUUUUUAAUAGGAGUAUUAAAGAAAAUAUUUAGAAAUCCAACAAAAUUGAGUGAAAAAUAGGUUCAAAUUCAAACCAACAAAUGUUAAAAAAAUUAAGAUAAAAUAAGAGCAAAAUUGAAAAAGAACAAAAUGCCAACAGAAAUACGUGCAACCGUGGGUCCAUCUACCAUUAACUCCUAUACGGACAAGAUUUUCAUGCCAACCGUGCCCUUCCAUCUGCCAAUAAUCACAACAGUGCCCUUCCAUCUACCAAUAAUCACAACAGUGCCACUGAUGCUUACUUCUUACUUCCUCUGCAUGCAGACAGCCGCUCUGUCCUCUCCCGAUAAACUCUCCCCUUCCUCGUUGCUGUCACCAUCAAUCGCUCACAAAUUUCAGUGCGUGAUUGUGUGUGAGCUCUUCCGUCGUCUUUUCGAUCAUUUUCAGAAAUAUUCCAUCUAGAAGAACUCAGAAUGAGACAAUGGAAAGCAUGAAAGUUUGCUUUUAACCAAAGACUCAGUUUUAGAUUACUCUCCAACUGUGAAAAUUAGACAGGAGGGGAAUGCCGGCCAAUGACUUGGAUGUAUAAUCUUCAUGCUAUCAAGGUCGAAAUUGACUAAGACUAUGGAUUCUUCUCUCUGGGAUCCACCAAUUUGUGAAGAUGACAGUGCCGAUUUUAAAGGAAAUUGGCAGUCUGAUUUCUCCUCUGGUGUGGGGUGCGAUGUCAUGGAAGAAGAUGCUAUAAAUGAAAGGUGUUGUAUCGAAGUGCUGAAAAAAUUGAUACCUAAGGCUGAUGCCGAGAUAAAGGAACUUGAGGAAGAAAUUAUAUUUCUUCAGGCCCAAGUGGCUUUGGAAGAUGAUGCUUGGGCUAAGAUAUGCUUUGAUACUUUGACAGAGAGGACCAAGGCGCUAGAUAUCUCGAUUCAGAGAUUGAAGAAUGAAAAAGUGCAACAGCAACAAGGACAGGCGUCUAGUUCGCAAACACAUGGAGAUCCUGCUCAGAAUGAAAAACAACAAACAGAAAAUGAACUAAACUUUUGUUUCCAAACAGAUGGAGAUCCUGCUCAGAAUAAAAAACAACAAACAGAAGAUGAAUUGGAUGUUUGUUUUCAAACAGAUGGAGAUCCUGCGAAAAUUGAAAGCCUACAAACAGAGAAGGACCUUGAUUCUCACAUCCAAACAUGUAAGGAACCUUCUCAGAACCAAAAAAUACAAUUGGAACAUGAGAUGCCUGUUCUUUGCCAAACACAUCUAGAACCUGCUCAGAUUGAAAACCUGCAAGCGGAACAUGAGCGGGAUUUUAAUUUCCAAACAAAUGGAGAUCCUGGUCAGGGUGAAACACUACAAAUGGAACAUGAAAUGGGUGUCCCUCACCACAAACAUGGAGAACCUGCUCCGAAACUGAGUGAAAUACUAAAAGCUCUUCUGGAAAAGUACUACUUUCCAAACAGAGAUAAGCAGCUCACCGCUCUCCAGUCCACAGAUGAGACCGGCUUGAGCAAUGCUGAAGCAAUAGCCUGUGUUGCUAAAUCCUUGGAAGAGAUUGCUGAACCUUUUAAUCUGGAAGUUUCAGAGGGUGCGGAAGAGAAAGACCAGAAUGGAGAUACCACAAUCAUCAACUCAUUCCCAAAUCUUUCUGAACAUGCAAGUGAAGCAUCCACCAAGAGAAAAAUGAUGGAGAUUGAUUCAAGCGGAAUACAUGAUUCAACGACCGAGGCAGAGAAGAGGAUGUAUACCCCAGACAAUCAGAAGGUACCUACCAAUCGGUCGUCAAAUUAGGAAUCAAUUAUUAUAAAUGUACAAAUUUUCUUUUGACUUUGCUAAUCUCAUACAACAAACAGGAAGCAACUGCUAUGAUGAUGGAUACCAGUGCGAAUGCCUUGAGCUACAUAGCUGGUUCAAGCAGUGGAACAGUGGGCUGCAAUCUUUCUGAAGAAACAAGCGGGCCGGUCACAGUACAGAAUUUCAGAAUUGAAAGCACUAAGUUGAAGCCAUCUCCAAAUCCCGCCGAAACCACCAUUACAGAAACUGAUAUGAGCAUGUUCCAGCUUUCAGAUAUCACUUCAGUUUGCAUGACUGAUCCUGUAGAACGGAAGGUUGAAAAGGCUGAUAUAAACAACUCGAAAGAAACCGAAUUUCCCCUCCUAAUGAAGCAAGAAGAUUGGAGGCUUUUUGAUUUCGAACGGGCACUUGGAGGAUCAUCUUCAGAGCCAUUGCUGAAGGAGAGACAGGAACCACAACUGUUGAAUCAAACACAUCAUAUUGAAGGAGUUGGAGCAGAACCAUUCACGUCAAACUGCUUGAAGUCAGGGAUUCCCGAACACAGAGACAGGCCCUUCCCCAUGUUUGAGUCGGGACUACUUCCAGAAUCGGCCCUUGGUAUGGAAAUGGAGUACAAACCUCAAGACUCAUAUAGAAUAAUUCUUGAUGAGAAUAAUUCUAUGAACAAAAAAAUAAAAGAGGAGACUCAUAUAGACUUCAGCGGAGAGAAGAGUUGCAAUGUUGUUUCGGCUUGUCAGUCACCGGGGACAAGGCAGAAAUCUGUACUCCCCCCAUUGAUCAAGAAAGGUGAAGAGUUGGGCAAUCUCCAAGUCACUCGGACGAUGCAAGAGGGAAGGCUCAAAGGUUUGUUCAAGGAGGAAAUCGAUCGGAUCUCCAACUUUCCUGCAGCGAAUGAAUUUGGAGUUAAGAAGCCUCUCAAGUUACUCUCUUGUACAACAUCCGUGGCCACAAUGAAUCUCGAGUUUUUGUCGAUGGCUCAACUCAGAGCCAUGGCAAAGGAACGCAACCUCAAAAGGUACUCUAAACUCAACAAAAGUGACUUGAUCAAGCUUCUUAAUUUCCCACCUUCAGCCAUUUAAUUUCCCUUGUGAUUGCAAACAUACUCAGUUACUAUGGAAGUCGCACGUACUUAUCUCUGCUUCGGUUUUUAGCCAUUUUACAGAAAAUGCCAUUAUAAACUUUAAGAAUGUGGAAGUGUGACUCAUCUGGAUAAAAUUUUGAUGAUUUUUGGUACUCUGUUGGUUUCUUUUUGCCGUGGAGCUCGAUAUUUGACCGGGCCAUAAUAUUGCUGGUGAUUUACUUGCUUGGGUAACUGCAUAUGGAUAUUAUUAUUCACGACAGUGCAUUCUUGAUAUAAGGAUUCUGUGAAAUUCCACACUUUUUGUGGUUAUAAUUCGACUGCACGCAGGAGGCAAUUCAGCAGAUAAUGUGGUAGCAACUCCCCCAACUGUUAUCAGCAAAUCUAUUGAGUUGGCUUAUGAUAAGUAGUAGUUGCAAAAGCAACUCUCUUAGUGUUUAGCAGCUACAGAAAAACCAGAGGCAUCACCUUUUCUCUCAGACCGAUCUUCUAAAUUGUUUAGCAGUAUCAGGGAAGUUACAAAGCCAUUACCGUUUUCCCUCAAGGAUUGAUACAGUCAGCACUUGCUCUCCUUUAGCUUUCAGAAAGUAUCAAUCUGAUUCUGGAUGAAUUCCAUGUUACAGCAUAAAGACAAAUUUAGAGAA